rnacentral:rRNA from 1 species
AGUGGAUUGGAAGCGGUGCAAACUGUGAGUGUGAAAGAAUAGCGCCCAGAAAAGUCUUCUUGAUGAUGAAAACUAGGUACUCGUACCGUAAACCGACACAGGUGGGCAAGUUGAGAAUACGAAGGGGCGCGAGAGAACUCUCUCUAAGGAACUCGGCAAAAUGACCCCGUAACUUCGGGAGAAGGGGUGCCACCGAGAGGUGGUUGCAGUGAAGAGGCCCAGGCGACUGUUUAGCAAAAACAUAGGUCUCUGCGAACUCGAAAGAGGAUGUAUAGGGGCUGUCGCCUGCCCAGUGCCGGAAGGUUAAGGAAGUUGGUCAGUCUGAGGAUGAAGCUAGCGACUGAAGCCCCGGUGAACGGCGGCCGUAACUAUAACGGUCCUAAGGUAGCGAAAUUCCUUGUCGGGUAAGUUCCGACCCGCACGAAAGGCGUAACGAUCUGGGCGCUGUCUCGGAGAGAGGCUCGGCGAAAUAGGAAUGUCUGUGAAGAUACGGACUACCUGCACUUGGACAGAAAGACCCUAUGAAGCUUUACUGUAGCUUGGAAUUGUGUUCGGGCCUUGCUUGCGCAGGAUAGGUGGGAGGCGAAGAAGUCAUUCUUGAGGGAAUGAUGGAGCCAACGGUGAGAUACCACCCCCGCGAGGCUAGAAUUCUAACUUAAGCCCGUGAACCGGGAAAAGGAAAGUUUCAGGUGGGCAGUUUGACUGGGGCGGUCGCCUCCAAAAAGGUAACGGAGGCGUACAAAGGUUCCCUCAGGCUGGUUGGAAAUCAGCCGCAGAGUGCAAAGGCAGAAGGGAGCUUGACUGCGAGACAAACAGGUCGAGCAGGGUGGAAACACGGUCUUAGUGAUCCGACGGCACUGAGUGGAAGGGCCGUCGCUCAACGGAUAAAAGUUACUCUAAGGAUAACAGGCUGAUCUCCCCCAAGAGUUCACAUCGACGGGGAGGUUUGGCACCUCGAUGUCGGCUCAUCGCAACCUGGGGCGGAAGUACGUCCCAAGGGUUGGGCUGUUCGCCCAUUAAAGCGGUACGUGUGCUGGGUUCAGAACGUCGUGAGACAGUUCGGUCCAUAUCCGGUGCAGGCGUAAGAGUAUUGAGAGGAGCCUUCCUUAGUACGAGAGGACCGGGAAGGACGCACCGCUAGUGUACCUGUUAUCGUGCCAACGGUAAACGCAGGGUAGCUAAGUGCGGAGAGGAUAACCGCUGAAAGCAUCUAAGUGGGAAGCCCACCUCAAGAUGAGUACUCUCACAAUUAUUGGUAAGGUCACGGGAAGAACACCCGUAGAUAGGCAGGAAGUGGAAGUGCAGUAAUGUAUGAAGCUGAACUGUACUAACAGAUCGAGGGCUUGACC